rnacentral:tRNA from 1 species
GCCGCGGUGCUGGAACUGGUAGACAGGCAGGACUUAGGAUCCUGUGUCCGCUCAACGGAUGUGUGGGUUCGAAUCCCACCCGCGGCA